rnacentral:rRNA from 1 species
UACAGAGACUGCAAGCGUUAUUCGGAAUUACUGGGCGUAAAGGGUGCGCAGGCGGCCGUGUGUGUGAGGCGUGAAAGCCUGGAGCUUAACUCCAGAAUUGCACCUCAAACUACACGGCUAGAGCAUUGGAGAGGGUAGCAGAAUUCACGGUGUAGCAGUGAAAUGCGUAGAUAUCGUGAGGAAUACCAGAGGCGAAGGCGGCUACCUGGACAAUUGCUGACGCUCAGGCACGAAAGCGUGGGGAGCAAAAGGG